ACGGGAGGCAGCAGUGGGGAAUAUUGCACAAUGGGCGAAAGCCUGAUGCAGCGACGCCGCGUGAGUGAAGAAGUAUUUCGGUAUGUAAAGCUCUAUCAGCAGGGAAGAAAAUGACGGUACCUGACUAAGAAGCCCCGGCUAACUAUGUGCCAGCAGCCGCGGUAAUACAUAGGGGGCAAGCGUUAUCCGGAUUUACUGGGUGUAAAGGGAGCGUAGACGGCAUGGCAAGUCUGAAGUGAAAGCUCAGGGCUCAACCCUGGAACUGCUUUGGAAACUGUCAAGCUAGAGUGUCGGAGAGGUAAGUGGAAUUCCUAGUGUAGCGGUGAAAUGCGUAGAUAUUAGGAGGAACACCAGCGGCGAAGGCGGCUUACUGGACGAUAACUGACGUUGAGGCUCGAAAGCGUGGGGAGCGAACAGGAUUAGAUACCCUGGUA
rnacentral:rRNA from 1 species